CCUACGGGUGGCAGCAGUGGGGAAUAUUGCACAAUGGGGGAAACCCUGAUGCAGCGACGCCGCGUGAGUGAAGAAGUAAUUCGUUACGUAAAGCUCUAUCAGCAGGGAAGAAAGAAAUGACGGUACCUGAGUAAGAAGCCCCGGCUAACUACGUGCCAGCAGCCGCGGUAAUACGUAGGGGGCAAGCGUUAUCCGGAAUUACUGGGUGUAAAGGGAGCGUAGACGGUAAUGCAAGUCUGGAGUGAAAGGCGGGGGCCCAACCCCCGGACUGCUCUGGAAACUGUGUAACUGGAGUGUAGGAGAGGCAGGCGGAAUUCCUGGUGUAGCGGUGAAAUGCGUAGAUAUUAGGAGGAACACCAGUGGCGAAGGCGGCCUGCUGGACUGUAACUGACGUUGAGGCUCGAAAGCGUGGGGAGCAAACAGGAUUAGAUACCCUUGUAGUC
rnacentral:rRNA from 1 species